CUGGCCGCGACGGGGACACCGCAGGCGCCGAGGGGUCCUGGCUUUCACACCGUGAGCGCGGACAUCGGAGGGCCUGGACGAGCCAAGGGCUGACAGCGGCACUUCGAAACGAUGUCAGGGCAGUUGUCCACCUUUUUUUGGUAGCGCGUGAGCCCUUGUUACGGAGGGACAUUCCCGCACCUCCCCCGCCAUUCUCACGACAAGCGUUACCAAGCUGGGAGUGCCUGAUCCACAGAGGCUGUCUUUGCUUUCCGCCACGGGGCAAAAAGUGUCCUUUUGGGGGGGGUGUAGGAGGUGUUGUCAGGGGCCGCUCAGCAGAGCCCUAUGGGCCCCCCUAAAGAAUUUGGAUUUUAUCUAAAUGUACCUGGAAUGAUCUGUGGAGGCGAACAGGCGGAAAUGUAACAGGGAUACAUUUUGUGUGCAUUUGGGAGCCUCACCCUCAUGACCUCAUCUGACUUCAUUCUCUCCCACCCUCACAUGGAGGGGGUUCAGGCUUCAAUCUCUGAGCAGUGGGGGGCACCCACUUUCUGUCCACGGGUCCUGCCCUGCGAGGCUUGGGAGCCGACCCCUGGAUGCUGGGCUCUUCGCGUCCCCGCUGCCCUCCUCUCCCCUUGCAGUACUAGGAAGGGAGAGUCAAUUUUCUCGUUCCUUAGGGGACCAUCACUUUCCCCCCAAAGAGGAGUAAUGAGAGGUCGUGAGUGGGUCGGAGAGACUCUGCGAUGAGGGCCAAUGCCACCUACCUCACACUUCCUGCCGGGGCCACGGCUGCACGCUGCUGGUGGGUUGUGCAGUUCUAAAACCGUGGCCAAAACAGAUGAAGAAGUGGAGAGAUGGGGUGAGAAGCAGAGCUCUCGUCAGUCCCUUAGAGGAAGUGCCAGGCAUGGCCACCAGGUGGCAGCAGGUGAACAGUAGUUUGCUAAGACCAUGCAGACUCCGGGACUACUACAUCCUCGCUCUGGGUGACGUGAACGGUAGGACCAGCAUGAGCUUCCCACUCCCUCUCCACCAGCCUGUGUCUCCACAGAGGAGCAUGGUCCUUCGUGGGUUUUAGCAGGUCCAGCGCUGGGCCCCUCCGUGUGAACGCACAGACAUUAAUCCCUGUACUUACUGAUUGCGCUGACCACUCACACCACCGUAUAAUUCUGACUCCCCUAAAUGCAAUGAAGAAGAGGGUGCUCCUAGCAGGAGCCCUGAUCCAGACUUCCCGGAGAGGGGCCCUGCAGAAGGGCAGAGAAGAGCAUGGCCUCUUCCUCUGGAGUCACUCUCUGAAAGAACAUUCUUUCUCCAAAGAAUGUGGAAAGUGUGUCAGACCUGGCAGAGCCCUUCCACUGCGUGAUUCUAGUCCUCUGUGGAAAUGGAGAAAGUCUGAUUGCAGUCACUAUACAGUGAUCUAUUUAUUCCUGGAAGUCUCCUUCCCUGACUCCACUUCCAGAUGCUCUAUCGUUUGGUCCAGGAAUGAAAAACUGCUUGGCAAGUCCUUUCGGAGACAACCUGAGGGUCCCCGAUCCCAAGCAGAACGGUCAGAUGCCUAUACGUCCGCCUCAUCCCAAACGCGCGCCCUGUUCCUUUUCUCUCUUACUCAGCCCAUUCUCUACAGCACGACGGGGAAGAGAUAAUGACAGUAAUUUUUUCACAAGGUUUUUGUGAGGAUUAAAAGGCGGUAUGUGCAAAACCCUUCAGCAUAACCUGGCCCAUAAUAGGCAGCAGAUGGCAGUUAUUGUUGAUGUGUUCACAGGCGUGAGGACCAAGGACUUCCCCAUCAGUGCUAGGCAAUUAAACAAAUUAAGCAUUUUGUGUAAGUCUAGGAAUGCACUGGAAGCUCCCCCGCCUUCUUCGUGCAGUGUGUCGAGCAUAACUUGACCUUCUAACCUCCAGGUCAUCAGGAUGAGCUUUUGUUUUGAGCUAGAUGGCUGUGAGCCCUGGCAGAUCUGGGGUUCCCUCCUCAAAAGUGCUCACAUGAUCAGUUUCUUUCUUUGGGACAUUAUCUUCUCAGGAGCAUAGAUCAGAGCUCACUGUUGUCUGUGGCCCAGGGUGUGUUUCCCCAACAAUGUCACCUGCUUGCUUCUGCAAAAUGACCUCUAGAAUUUUUGGUUGAAGCAGUCCGCAUUCCUCCACUCCCUCCAAAAAAGCUUCUUGGUUGCUCUCAAAUGCUUUCGCAUUUUCAGAGCCAUGGAGAGGGGAAGAAGUUAGUUUGAAUUACAGAGUGGGGCACUUGGGAAGCAGACUGGGGACAGGCAUGGCCAAAGCCGCUUUGGGAGCCCAGAGGACGUGUCUCCUUUUCCUCACGGGUCUUGCCCCUGGUACUCAGCUUAGGGGUGGACAUCAACUCCUCCCACCAUUUGGGGAGUCUGGCUGGGGUGAUUUGGGGGUACACCUUCUCCCAAUCCUGAAAACGCAACCUUGCAAAAGGACCACUCUUUCGUAGCCGUGAUUCUAGGACCUUGGCUUAUGUUGCAAGACGGUGUCAAUCUUUUGUUUUGCUUUGGAAAGAGUCGGAGUCACAGGUAGCAGUGAAAGAAAGGCAGUCUCUUUAAUGCUGCAGCGCUAUUAAAAGUUCUGUAUUGUACCAGGGAGGGCCAAAUGCCAUCACCUCGGUGAACCACCUCUCCUCUGGACUCCCGCUGCCCACCGUUAGGUUCGUCUGACUUCUCCGCCUGCCCAUGUCUGUGCCACCCCUUCCACAACUAGAUGGAAGCCUUUUAAGAACAGGAACAGUGUCCAGUUAAUGAGUAUAGCAGUGAGAAGGCCAACAGUCCUAACCUUUAUCGAGUGUGCAUCUGUGUCAGGCUUUUUUUCUUAAUUUUUAAAAACAUUUAUUGAUUAUUAUUUUUUUUGGAGGGAGAGAGAGAAUCUUAAGCACACUCCACACCCAAUGUGGAGCCGGAUGAGGGGCUCAAUCCCAUGACCCUGAGAUCAUGCCCUGAACCAAGAUCAAGACUCGCACACUUAACCGUCUGAGCCACCCAGGCGCCCGUCAGGCUCUGUCUUAAGAAUUUUCCACACAUCGAAUUUAAUCUUCUCAACAAUCCUAUGAGGCCUACAAACUCUAAGAUGACGACUUUCCGAGCCCUCCCUGAGACCUGUGAUUACAGUUCAUAUGAGGAGAGACAGAAUAUACUAUUUCUGAUGAAGGCAUCCCAGCUCUGUACACUUGAAGCUGAGGACCACUAACAACCAGGCACUGCUGCCUUCUCUUCUUGUUGCCGAAGCCCGAGAGGAGGAGGCGGUGAUAGAUGGAGCACAGUCCCAAGGAAGUUGUUUGGUGAAAGCAACGACACCGUAACAAAGCACAAUAACCAGGCCCCGCCAAAGUCAACCCCGAGCAAUCCCACCCCCUGUUACAAAUGGAAAGAGCAUCCAGACAUCUUCAAGGGGUAACACACAAACAACAGAGUCAGUAUUAAUCACAUGGAAACACCGUACAGGAUACAAGGUACGUUAGCUACCCAACACCUGCCUCUUUCAUUUGCCCUCGUCCCAGUAAGGCCUCCAAGUAUGUGCAACGAUUCAGCUGGUGGGGUUGAACAACGUCAUGUCUAAGGUGGGAUUUUAAACUUGGGUUAUUAAACAACUAACACAUCCAGUAAAAAUGUCUGAAGAAGAAUAAAUGAGGUCUUGACCCCAAACAUGGAGUUAGCGUACCAUGCUAGGACUCGAGUGAGAAGUUACCCAUGAACUGGACAAGGAAUUGACAUGUGUGACACCCGUGCAGCUGACGGGUCAGGUUGGCCUCUGUUCUGGUCGGUCCCAGCCCAUGCCAUACCCAUUGUUAAGUAUUUCAAGUGUCACCCGGGAACAUACACAUUUUAAAACGGAUGUAGUAGCAGGCAUACUCCGAUGAAAGCCACUAAGAUAAAGAUGUCACAAGGGUAGGUUUCACAUGACCUGUCAUUUUUGUCACUGGGCUAGAAAAAAGAAUGAGUGUAUCAAAGCAGGUGCAAAACCCAAGUUUUCCAGGGUAGCUUGGUCACAAAUGUCAGGUAAUCUCACAAUGACAUCUUAGAUACGCUCUCAGAUGGCCAAGACUCUGUGUAAAAGGUAAGUAAGCCUCUUAAUAUCUGCUUAUAUAGGCCCUUAGGUUUGGAUUGUUCAGACAACUGUGUAGCAGGCUCAAAAUGCAUAUGGGCAAUCAACCAAAAUCAUCAGAGACAUAGUUAUAGGAAAACUGCAUACAAGUGAAGUACUUACUAAGCUAGCGCUUCAUGACAAUAGGAGAAAAUUUUAAAAAAAUAUUUGAUUUAUAGAAGAGUAGAUGAAUAGACCACAGAGAGGUUAAUAAUGAUACAAAUUUGAGGACAAGUCCGAUACUCAUGGUUAUUAUGAAACAGGUCAAUCUCCUGAGUAUAAUGAUCUACAAUAAAGCACUAAUGUCCCUCCAAGGCUCUUACUACAGACCUGCUUAUCUGAGGAACUCGACUGAGAUGAACGGAACCGGAAGGAUAUGGCUUUCUAAUCGCAGGGCAAGAAAUCUCAUGCAACUUUUUCGCCAAUUAGCAAAAUUCUGUGAGACAAUGAUUGUCCCUAGAGGGAUCUUCCAGAACUUCCCGGUUCCCAGGCAGCACUUUGGCCAGAAACAGUCCCAUUAGCCCAGGCAUGCCCUGUGACCCAGGGUCUGCGACGGCCUUUCAUGAGCUGGUUUUAAUAAGGCCACGUAGGGCAAUCCCAAGAGCAAUGUAUUUCCAGUAUGGUGUCACAUGGGUUCAAUCCAAAUUAACAGGAGAUUUUCUUCAUGAGAAAGAUUUAUCAAUAAUAGUCUCAUAACCUCUGCUGGUGCACAGAAAUUCCCCCUCACCUGGCCUGUAACAGUUCUAUACGUCAGUUAUGUGGCAGAUGCAGUUUGCAGGAGGCCUCGUGAUGGCCGUGAGACAGGGAGGAGGAGCACGGCCUCCCUGGCAGGGCCUCACGGCUGGGAGCUACAAGCCCCAGGACUGUAUCUCUUGAAGGAUUAUGUUAGAACAGCCCUCUGACUUGGGAUCCUCUAUCUCCCAUCACUGAGCUUUCUUAUACAGGGAAUGAGGUACCCACCUGGUGUCGCUAGUAGGCUACACGGCGGCUGAUUUGUUUGACUUUAUCUAGGGGAUGCUAGAACCUUCGAUUUCCGAAAUAAACGUUCCUGGCGAAAAAUGCUAGGACUUGAGUUGGUCAUGAUGUCCUGGUGUGUAAACAGAGGCUUCCUUCAGAUAAGAUGGCUCUAUAUCCAAAAAUCUAGAUGCAACUUAAAGAGUUGACGUUCAGACAAUCAGGCCAAGAUCCUUUCCCUAAAGUACUUAGGUAAUGACAGCAAAUUUUGUUUCAGAGCCUGGACAUCUGUCUUGAAGCCAUCAGGAUGCCACGAUGUGUAUUAGCACUAAACCCAGACUGGACUUACUGUCUUGCAAGGUAUAGUUUGAGAAUGUGUAGUACCUAACAAAAAUUCUGUCUGGCAUUCUCGAACAUGUGUGCAGAUACAUAUGUGUACGUUCCCAUGAGGACACACCUGUGGAUGGUGGCAGGCAUACAGCUCUGCCGUGGGUUUUCUUCCCUGAAUCCAAGGUUUGCAGCUACUUCUGAUGUAGGUGUGUUGAACCUAGAAGAUCUAUUAAAACUUGGAAAAAGUGCUACACACUCGACUGAUGUUUCUAUUUUUUCCCCGGAGUUCUAGAAAAAUCUUGCAAGGCGUACGUAUACUCUUCGGUUUGGGAAGAUAAUGCCUAAAAUGCUGCACAGACUAUUGCGUGCUGCAUGCAGGAACACUGAGGUCACUGAUUAAUCUCCGAUUAAACCUAAGGCUGUGUCUCCAUUAGUUUAAAAAAAAAAAAAAGGCGAGAGAAAAAAGAGAGGGCACAGAAGGACAAACACAGGAGCGGUGUUAGUGUCAGGGCUAGGAAAGAAGGACCAUCGGCCUGGGUGGCAAAUGUGUC